GUUGUGUGCCUUAUCUUUAACCUUGUUCUAGCAUGAUAACUAGUGCAGUAUAGUUAGUACUUUCAUAUCAAAAUUCACAUUUUAGUUUUGAAGGUACUGAAAAAAUAACAAAAUAACAAAGCUCUAUGGUAAGUUUCAUUUUGUGCUUUUUCACUUUCAGUUAAUUUUGCAUAUAUCUAUUAUUACUGUUGUUCAUUUGGGGGCGUUGAAAUCCAUUGUAGCAUCUAGAGGAGCAUUAGAGACAAUAUGCUCUAUAAAUUGCAAUGCUCAGAGUUUGACAGCAGAAACAGUCAAAUAUACUCAUUGCAAAUCGACAUGUGUUAAACUAUUCCAUAGUGACUAUUGCUCAACAUGAAAACUCUUGCCACACGUACAACAAUUUUAGUAGACAAUUAUGGUUGGUUACACAUUUUCCCCUUAAAACUUCUCAAACUGAAUCUAUUAGUCUUGAAGUAAGAACUGUUGUUUUUCCUGUCUCUCUCUCUGUCUCUCGGCUGUGGGAAGAAAUGCUGCAAUGAAGAGUGGCCCUUUGUUGCUAGGCAGCAGGAAUAUUAUGCGAGAGUGCAACCCUGCUGUGCUGGUUUGCUGGUAUUAUAUAUACAUCAAAGGUAAGAGAUCUGUUAAGGUAAUGGUCUGAAAGGGUCUCCAACAUAAUGGUUACAGGAUUAAAAGGGUCCAGUUUUAAAAACAAUCUUUAAACACAUUUUUUUAAGUGUGAUUUAAAAUGAGUGUUUUAUUUUGCUAACUAUUUUACUGACAUGUCAUAUGCUUGUUUUUCUUCUUUCUAGGCCAUAUAGAUUGUCUUGAUUCAGCAACACAGUGAGUUUGGAGUGUGUGUGUGUUUGUGGAAAAUAAACGUUGUUGCUUUAAGGAUUGAAGACUUUUAUUUGUCAGAAGCAACAUAUACUACACUGCUGUGAAAUAUUUUUCUUAAGUCUCCAGCUAAGCUUAUGCAAAAUAUAUAAACUUUUUAUACUCGCACACAACUGCAGCAAAAGGUUCACGAAAUGGCAGUUAUCUCUCAGCUGUAAGCCAUGAUAAUCAUCUGAAAGUCAACACUAGCCAACACUAUUGGCAUCGUUAUUCCAUUCAAGACAACCAACCUUCACCAAUCAGAUAAGUCCACUCAUUGGCAAGGUUACCCAGUGACCUGGCUUCUUUCAGAGACCUCAGAGACCUCCACACAGUCUUUGUUAAUACAUGACAUUUGGGAAAAUGUUUCCAAUACAUAUAAUUGUUUGGGUGUUCACCUGCCACUAAUAAAUAUAUUAUAUGAGUUACAACCAUAAAGAUGAAUUGAAGUGAAGCUAAAGCAAGUACACCAGCUGCAGUAUGGGUCAUAAGGUCCAUCUACUUGUAGAUGAUCUUCAGCUGGUCUUCAGCCAAACAAAAACACUACAUGCCUAAUACAUUUUUACUGAUGUAUGUUCAAGUAUAUUUUUCUAAUAAGUUUUAGUUAUUUGAUGCUAUACAAACAGGAUGUGAUGUUAUGAUGGCUACCUGUUGCCAUGCCAACCACUCUGUGACACAGUCCCGUUGGCUUGUGAGAGUUAGAGAAAAUAGCUAAUUAAGUACAGUGUAUAGCACAACUUUUCUUUGUAACUGGUGGAGGUAGAGCGGAGCACAGUGGAUGUGGUUGGGCCAUAGACAACGCGUGGAUCCACUCUCAGACUGUGGUUCGAAACCAGCAAGAUGGCUGCACCCGUAUCCAUGGAAUCCUAGCAUCAAUUUGCCCAAUACAAGGAAGUGGGGACACAUUAUGUGCUAUAUUUAUUAACAGUCUGUAGUUGCACCAAUGGAAACUCCACUUCACAAGUGCAUUAUAAAGAAUGAAAAUGAGGCUCAAACAGACUGCUCCUGCUAGCAGUCUGGACACCCAGAGCCACUCCAAUAAUUGGAAUUUAUGCAAUAUUAACCGUAAAUUCUAAAUGCCAUUAUCUCAUCAUGCUUUCUUGAAAUGCAACAAUUUGUACCAUGAAACGAAGCUCCAAAAAAUGUUCCCAGGAAGUUAAUAGUAAACUUUUACAGCGGGAAAUGGACGGGGUGCUUUACAGCAAUAGAAUAAAAGGCAACAGUCUGCAAUACAUACAAUACAAAUAACAUUAAAAGGGCCUCCUCUCCACUGACCUCCAUGUCCAGACAUGGAGAAUUCUGCAUCUCACCGAUCACCUGAGUUAAGAUGCUAUGAUAAGGCAAGCUAUGCUGCAUAAAAAAAGUGUUAAAUCAAGUUGUACAGUAUAGUUUUUAAAGUAGCAAUCUUCAACUUUCCGUUUAAAUAAAUAAAUAUCUUUAAAGUAUCACCAAAUGAGGUAACACAAUGACUGAGUCUAUAGCCCGAUGAAUAAUGUUCUGACUCUCAAGUGUGUGUAGCCCUGUGAAAAUUCAUGAAGGUAAAAAGGGCAUAAGUUAAAACAAAUGAUUAAUAAAUGAUGUUUCUGUAUUAAAAAGUGCCUUUAAUAUGUUAAUUAUUUCAUGUUUAUAAAUGUAGUUGGAGUGUUCAUUAUGAGUGAAAGUACAGGAGGAGGUACACGAAUAUUGGUCAAUGUAUUUUAUUUUGAAAGGGUUCGUUACGCCGAUGACCUGUAGAGGUAAACAGGAAGGGAGGGGGAGAAAAAAGAGAGGGAAUGGCCGAGGCCGAAGACGAGAGAAGCGUGUUGUGAACGGUAAAGGAAAGUGACUGUGGAGUGAAUAUCUGUCACAGGGUCGUGGAGGUGUUCGACCAGGACGCUUCAAAGGACUUUGUGGUGACUUUCCUGUCUGUUUUGAGUGGAGUACUCAACUCGAGAAAAGACGAAGGAGUGAAGCUAGCAGUUAGCCCAGCAGCUAGCAGUUUCCACAAACUUUGCUAAGCUAGCGGCCAGCUACCUCGGCGGCAAAGACUGUGGGAAAAGUGAGUGUGGAGCGGCAGAGACAGAGCCGAGCGUCGUGGGAUUGGCAGUGGCGUGUCCUCCGGGCGUAUUCUCUUCUCACCCCAUCUCUCCUCCAGCAGCAGUCCGUGUGUGUGAACGCGACACUCGGGGGAUUAAUCCCUGUCCUCGACGUCACUCCAGGUCCUUCUUUGAAGCUUGAAGGGGAAAUCAAAUGCAGAUGAAGGAGGAACAAGAGUGCACUGAGAGAUGGCUCUUCUCACGCUCCCGGUCCUCCAGAUACCACUUAUACCACCGAUGGGAUGUGCGAGACUCAGGCCGAAGUGAUUUUCACCAGCGGAGCCCUCCAGAGCAAGAAACCAAUCACAGAAAGGAUCCAUGGGGAGAGGAGCUAAUGCUUCCUGAGACUCAUGGUCUGGGUUUCUCUGCGUCUCGAGACCAUCCUCCAUCUCUGCUUUUGAGCCCUCUCUUCCCUCCAUCUAUUUCCCUCAGGUCCUGUAAGCCAAUAUACUUUUGUGCGUCUAUUGUUAGUAAAAACAUCCAUUAGAACAGAAUAUCCUUUAUUGUAUUGUUGUUGCAGAACACAGGUUGUACAAUGCUCAGUAUACAAGAUCCUCAGUAUAAUUGGUUAGAUAAAAAAGGUCAAUAUAAGUCAAAGUCAAUAUGGAUUGGAAUUGAAAGGGCUACAAUAUAUGAGUAUAAAUAUAUAACAAUAACAAUCUAAAUACAACUAUAAAAUAUAAAUGUAACAUUUGACUUUGGAACAUACACUUAUAUGUAAAGUAUUGUGCAAAUUAGAUUAGAUACAUAUGCAGAAUUAUCAACAACACUGUUGUUUUAAAAGAUUAAAAACAUGGGACAAUCUUAAACAGCGAUGACAUCACAAGGCUCGGGUUAAUGGGUCGUCAAAAUAUUACUGUUCACUAUUGACUGAGAAUCAAUGGCCAGGCUCCUAGUGGAUGUUCAAUGAUAAUGUAUUCUUGCCUCAUCCACCUAGCAGUGCAAAUUUAGGCAGGGUAGUCAUCCAGAUUGUUGGUUGAUUAAGCACUUUGGAUUACAAGGUCACAGUCAGGACAACGGAGUUGAAUAAAAACAGGCCCAACAUGUCCCAUAUCAAUUCUUCAUUUUCUAACUAAUGCAUGAAUAUUGAUAAGAGCUGGGAUGUUGUUUUUUUUUUUUUUUUUUUUUACACCCGUUCUGGCAGUUUGUUUUCCCCCAUGUCCUUAACUAUGUUUAUUACCAGCCUCAUUAAUUCUUCAGAAUCCCCAGUUCAUUUUAUUCGUUUUCUCAUCUGCAUCUUGUCCUGUUAAUACUUAUCAGGUUAUUCUUAUGUUUCAGAACUGUGAUUAUUACCAUGACAAAUAAAAGUCUCACCUGUCUCCACUCCAGGAUCAUCUUUUCUUACGGUCCGGGUGUUACAAGUUUUAAGGGCCCUUUCUUUACUGGGACACGGUUUUACCGUAACUUUUGUUUUCGCUUACUUAGCCUUGGUGGAUGUGAUUAAAUACAAAAACAGAUUAGAAAUAUUAAUCCUAUGUUGUUUGAAGUGAUGGACAGUCCCCAGGGUGGCAGAUUUAUUUUUUUCCAUUUUCUUGUUAAUGUUGUUGUUAAUUUCCUUUCUUUCAUGUAUUCUCUCUGGCCAAGAAAACGUGUGUAUUUGUGCACAGGCUUGCUUAUGUGUGUGGCAAAGGCCUGUAUCUCCUGAGAUGGUUUGAGAUGGAAGUAUUUGUUUGUUUUCAUUCUCUACCCCUUAUUUCCCCCCUCUCCUUCCCCUUCCUCUAGGAGAAGACGACCGGGUGCUGUACCACCCGCUAAUCAGCAGCGCUGAGAUUAACUGUGGAAAACUAAACAAACAAAGAAACAGAAAGAUUUUUCUUCUCCGCCUGGACUUGGCAAGAACUCCUCCCUUGCCUGGAUCCCUCAUUCCUUGUCCGAACGGAGACGAGAGGGAGUGUAGAACAAAGGAAUAAGAAUCCCUUUGUUGGGAUUAGGUGAAAAGAGAAAGAGUCUUGUCUUUGAGGCACAAGGCGCAUGUUUCCUCAUCUAAUUUAAUAAUGUGCCUUUGUGCCUCUGCGGUAUCUUGGGUGUGUGAUUUAUUUUUCUUCCUUGUGUGUGUGUUAGUUGAAGCGCAAACCUCACUCUUUUGGAAUAUCUAUGCUGCGCUGAUAUGUUGCUAUCUUAUAGCAUGACGGGAGACAAAGUGAUGUGAAAUAAUCCACUUUGACCUGUGAAUGGGGAGGACACGUGUGUUUCUUUCGUGAAGAUCUCCGGGUCGCUAAAUGCACGUGUGUUUGUUUGCGAUAACGGAGGACGUAAAUAUAAUAACCACAAUCUGCAGAAGUGUGGCGUGUCCUUAUGCUGUUUGAUUGGAUUCAAAAUGCUUAUUUAUUUUUUUGUUCGUUUACAGUUUAAUGGAAAAAAUUGGCAUCAAUGCUCUUUCUUUGUUUAUGUCUACACUUAGAGGAUGAGGGAUGGGCAAGUGUUAUGUUGAGUUCAAGUCUAUGUAUUUGUGGGGGUGUGUUCAUGUAUGGUGUGGACAACUAUAUGAUGGAUUCAGCUCCUGAGAGAAGCUUUACAACAGGAACAUCUACCACAGGCCCAGCAGGUGUCACGUUUAAUUCCUUCCUCCGCACACAGACGCACACAAGCUUCCUUGUCUCUCAUGAAGCUUCUCCCAACCUGAUACAACAUGAAAGCUGCGUUUACAGUAACAUAACUUUGUCCUUCUUUGAGAAAUGGGGGGGUCCAUCUAUAUCCAUUAUGUCUUGAGCGCCCCAUUCCGAACUUAUUUAGUUUGAUGAAGGGAUUUCCAGAUGCAGAAAAAGAUGUGAAGGGGACAAUCAAUUUAGCCGUUAAUCCAUAUGGCCUCGCAGGUGACAGGAUGGAGUUAUUGACCUUGUGUCAAGCUGAAAAUCACUUAGAAUUAAGCAUUCAAGAUCUUAGGGGCUUCAAGAAGUUAUCACAUAGAUAACAAUCCUUUUUUGACUGGGCCUGUGCAGUGUAUUUCAGAAGGAAUUUUGCAGUUUUACAACACAAGAAAUCAAUAGCACCUUAACUACACCCCUAAAUGUAAUGUCCGUUGCCAUUUGGUCUUUGUGAGUGACUGAUUGCCCUCACUCUGAUAGCUAUUGGGUAAUGCUCAGCCAGUCUGCAUUCCCCACACGAAAACCAAAAA